rnacentral:rRNA from 1 species
UACGUAGGGUGCGAGCGUUGUCCGGAAUUACUGGGCGUAAAGAGCUCGUAGGUGGUUUGUCGCGUUGUCCGUGAAAACUCACAACUCAAUUGUGGGCGUGCGGGCGAUACGGGCAGACUGGAGUACUGCAGGGGAGACUGGAAUUCCUGGUGUAGCGGUGGAAUGCGCAGAUAUCAGGAGGAACACCGGUGGCGAAGGCGGAUCUCUGGGCCGUAACUGACGCUGAGGAGCGAAAGCAUGGGGAGCGAACAGG